rnacentral:rRNA from 1 species
CCCUACGGGGGAAAGCAGGGGAUCUUCGGACCUUGCGCUAAUAGAUGAGCCUAAGUCAGAUUAGCUAGUUGGUGGGGUAAAGGCCUACCAAGGCGACGAUCUGUAGCGGGUCUGAGAGGAUGAUCCGCCACACUGGGACUGAGACACGGCCCAGACUCCUACGGGAGGCAGCAGUGGGGAAUAUUGGACAAUGGGCGAAAGCCUGAUCCAGCCAUGCCGCGUGUGUGAAGAAGGCCUUUUGGUUGUAAAGCACUUUAAGCGAGGAGGAGGCUACUUGGAUUAAUACUCUAGGAUAGUGGACGUUACUCGCAGAAUAAGCACCGGCUAACUCUGUGCCAGCAGCCGCGGUAAUACAGAGGGUGCGAGCGUUAAUCGGAUUUACUGGGCGUAAAGCGUGCGUAGGCGGCUUUUUAAGUCCGAUGUGAAAUCCCUGAGCUUAACUUA